rnacentral:rRNA from 1 species
UGCCAGCCGCCGCGGUAAUAAGUAGGGUGCCAGCGUUAAUCGGAAUUACUGGGCGUAAAGCGUGUGUAGGCGGUUCGGAAAGAAAGAUGUGAAAUCCCAGGGCUCAACCUUGGAACUGCAUUUUUAACUGCCGAGCUAGAGUAUGUCAGAGGGGGGUAGAAUUCCACGUGUAGCAGUGAAAUGCGGAGAUCUGUGGAGGAAUACCGAUGGCGAAGGCAGCCCCCUGGGAUAAUACUUACUCUCAAACACUCCAGCUUGGGUAGCAAACAGGAUUAGAUC